ensembl:snRNA U6 U6 spliceosomal RNA
GUGUUUGCUUUAGCAGCACAUUUACUUAAAUCGGAACAAUACAGGAAAGAUUAGCAUAGCCCCCGUAUGAGGAUAACAAUUAAGUUUGUGAAGCAUUCCACAUUUUU